CACACUAUCAUUAACUGAAUCCAUAGGUUAAUGAGGCGAACCGGGGGAACUGAAACAUCUAAGUACCCCGAGGAAAAGAAAUCAACCGAGAUUCCCCCAGUAGCGGCGAGCGAACGGGGAGGAGCCCAGAGCCUGAAUCAGUGUGUGUGUUAGUGGAAGCGUCUGGAAAGGCGCGCGAUACAGGGUGACAGCCCCGUACACAAAAAUGCACAUAUUGUGAGCUCGAUGAGUAGGGCGGGACACGUGGUAUCCUGUCUGAAUAUGGGGGGACCAUCCUCCAAGGCUAAAUACUCCUGACUGACCGAUAGUGAACCAGUACCGUGAGGGAAAGGCGAAAAGAACCCCGGCGAGGGGAGUGAAAAAGAACCUGAAACCGUGUACGUACAAGCAGUGGGAGCCUCUUUAUGGGGUGACUGCGUACCUUUUGUAUAAUGGGUCAGCGACUUAUAUUCUGUAGCAAGGUUAACCGAAUAGGGGAGCCGAAGGGAAACCGAGUCUUAACUGGGCGUUAAGUUGCAGGGUAUAGACCCGAAACCCGGUGAUCUAGCCAUGGGCAGGUUGAAGGUUGGGUAACACUAACUGGAGGACCGAACCGACUAAUGUUGAAAAAUUAGCGGAUGACUUGUGGCUGGGGGUGAAAGGCCAAUCAAACCGGGAGAUAGCUGGUUCUCCCCGAAAGCUAUUUAGGUAGCGCCUCGUGAAUUCAUCUCCGGGGGUAGAGCACUGUUUCGGCAAGGGGGUCAUCCCGACUUACCAACCCGAUGCAAACUGCGAAUACCGGAGAAUGUUAUCACGGGAGACACACGGCGGGUGCUAACGUCCGUCGUGAAGAGGGAAACAACCCAGACCGCCAGCUAAGGUCCCAAAGUCAUGGUUAAGUGGGAAACGAUGUGGGAAGGCCCAGACAGCCAGGAUGUUGGCUUAGAAGCAGCCAUCAUUUAAAGAAAGCGUAAUAGCUCACUGGUCGAGUCGGCCUGCGCGGAAGAUGUAACGGGGCUAAACCAUGCACCGAAGCUGCGGCAGCGACACUAUGUGUUGUUGGGUAGGGGAGCGUUCUGUAAGCCUGUGAAGGUGGCCUGUGAGGGUUGCUGGAGGUAUCAGAAGUGCGAAUGCUGACAUAAGUAACGAUAAAGCGGGUGAAAAGCCCGCUCGCCGGAAGACCAAGGGUUCCUGUCCAACGUUAAUCGGGGCAGGGUGAGUCGACCCCUAAGGCGAGGCCGAAAGGCGUAGUCGAUGGGAAACAGGUUAAUAUUCCUGUACUUGGUGUUACUGCGAAGGGGGGACGGAGAAGGCUAUGUUGGCCGGGCGACGGUUGUCCCGGUUUAAGCGUGUAGGCUGGUUUUCCAGGCAAAUCCGGAAAACCAAGGCUGAGGCGUGAUGACGAGGCACUACGGUGCUGAAGCGACAAAUGCCCUGCUUCCAGGAAAAGCCUCUAAGCAUCAGGUAACAUCAAAUCGUACCCCAAACCGACACAGGUGGUCAGGUAGAGAAUACCAAGGCGCUUGAGAGAACUCGGGUGAAGGAACUAGGCAAAAUGGUGCCGUAACUUCGGGAGAAGGCACGCUGAUAUGUAGGUGAAGCGACUUGCUCGUGGAGCUGAAAUCAGUCGAAGAUACCAGCUGGCUGCAACUGUUUAUUAAAAACACAGCACUGUGCAAACACGAAAGUGGACGUAUACGGUGUGACGCCUGCCCGGUGCCGGAAGGUUAAUUGAUGGGGUUAGCGGUAACGCGAAGCUCUUGAUCGAAGCCCCGGUAAACGGCGGCCGUAACUAUAACGGUCCUAAGGUAGCGAAAUUCCUUGUCGGGUAAGUUCCGACCUGCACGAAUGGCGUAAUGAUGGCCAGGCUGUCUCCACCCGAGACUCAGUGAAAUUGAA
rnacentral:rRNA from 1 species